rnacentral:rRNA from 1 species
GACAGAGGUCCCGAGCGUUAGGCGGAAUCACUGGGCUUAAAGCGUGUGAAGGCGGAUCGUUAAGUGCCUUGUGAAAUCCCACGGCUCAACCGUGGAACUGCUCGGCAUACUGGCGAUCUUGAGCCACCUAGGGGCAACCGGAACAAAUGGUGGAGCGGUGAAAUGCGUAGAUAUCAUUUGGAACGCCAAUGGUGAAAACAGGUUGCUGGGGGUGUGCUGACGCUGAGACACGAAAGCCAGGGGAGCAAACGGG